rnacentral:rRNA from 1 species
AUUGAACGCUGGCGGCAGGCCUAACACAUGCAAGUCGAGCGGAUGAAGGGAGCUUGCUCCUGGAUUCAGCGGCGGACGGGUGAGUAAUGCCUAGGAAUCUGCCUGGUAGUGGGGGAUAACGUCCGGAAACGGGCGCUAAUACCGCAUACGUCCUGCGGGAGCAAGUGGGGGAUCUUCGGACCUCACGCUCUCAGAUGAGCUUAGGUCGGAUUAGCUAGUUGGUGGGGUAAAGGCCUACCAAGGCGACGAUCCGUAACUGGUCUGAGAGGAUGAUCAGUCAGACUGGGAGUGAGACACGGUCCAGACGCCUACGGGAGGCAGCAGUGGGGAAUAUUGGACAAUGGGCGAAAGCCUGAUCCAGCCAUGCCGCGUGUGGGAAGAAGGUCUUCGGAUUGUAAAGCACUUUAAGUUGGGAGGAAGGGCAGUAAGUUAAUACCGUGCUGUUUUGACGUUACCAACAGAAUAAGCACCGGCUAACUUCGUG